GAGGGAGGACAGGAGCUGGCGGGCGGGCGGGCGGGAGAGGACGGGAAGGGGAGAGGCCGGCUCCACAAUAAACAAUGAGGCAGCUGAGGCCCGGCGGGAGCAGCGGCCCAGGCAUCCCAGGCCCGCCUGCCCGAGGCUCUCUGUCCCCUAUCCCGCCGCCACCUCCGGGCGACCCGGCCGGAGCAGCCGUAAUUGGAUCUUCGUCUCCUCCUCCCCUUCCCGCCCAUCAUCGGGGAACCGGUUAAAGACCGGGUACCUCGGCAUCACCGGCGGAUCCCAACCUGUGAUUUGGCUGCCGGGCUUCCCCGGGGCGGCUCGGCGACACCCUGCAGGCCAGGCCCUCCCCCACCGCUGGCCCUGCGUAGGUCCCGGGGUCCCCUCCGCGCGCAGACUCCCUCGCCUGCUCCGGGAUAACAGGAGGAAGCGAGGAUCCCAGGCUUCAAGGGCCUCAUUGUUCUGCCUGGAGGGGCACGUUGAAAACGCCCCAGGAUUCGCUUCCUGUGAAAACAGCCUGGGAGGGGGUGAAGGGGGGGAUCCACUGUGGAAACGCGUUACCCCAACCCUGAAAGCUACCCAGAUUAGACAGGGCGGAGGACAUUGUUUUGAUUGUUGAUGGCUCUUUCUUUUUCUUUCUUUUUCCCCUCGUUUGGGAACCCACCCACCCUCCUUCCCUCCUCGGGGCCAAAGCUAAGUCUUUCGGGCUGUUGAGCAAGUUGGAACUGUGGGGCCGUUUUUUUUCUGCAUAAAUAAGGCCAGUGAAUGGCAGAGCCAGAUAUAAAGUCUGAUUCAACGAUUCAAAAGAAAGCAGGGGCGAUGAGGUGGGCAUGCCAGAGGAAGCAUUCCCCCAGCACGGCCCUCUGAGUCAUGUCUUGCACCAGGAGGGGAAAAACAGACCACAUCAGGCCACAAUAUGUCACAUGCCUCCAGCAGAGGCAUGGGCCUGCACGGCACCGUGGGGGACCUAGCUCCUUCCUCCACAGCUGGGUCAGCAGAGAAGAGGCUUGGGCAGACAGAGGUGGGGGCUACUGGUCCCAAGGUCUUCUCCCGACCCUUUCCUAAUUGUCCUUGGAUAAAGAUGAUGCUAAGAUGGUGCAGAGCACAGCGCCUGCUAGGUGCUGAGCCUCUAUAAGACAGGUUCUUUUAUAUCCCAUAUAUACAUAAGGAAGUUGGGCCUAGAGUCAAACAGUCCACGGGGUCGGGGAGGCAGCCCAGCAGGUCACCAACACUUCUAAGCCCUAGACUGAGACCUCAGGACAUGAGGACGGCGACAACUACCUGAGGGGCUCCAUCCAGACACUAUCUCAGGCCUCUCUCCUAGGAAGUCUUCCUGAUUCCCUGCUCUUCCCAGAAUGCUUUGCUCCAUGAUCAAAUUCCAAGGCCAAGGGGCCUGCUGAAGAGGCCAUCUUCUCCAAAGGUCACAGGACUCUUUCUUGAUGUCUGUAGCCUCUGCACCGAUUAGGUGCCCGGCAGAGACAGGGAGGAGGGUAUCCUUCUCAUGCCCAGCUGCCCCUUCAAGGGCUGCCCCAAGGACAGGCCAAGGGUAGCUCACCCCUCCACUCAGAAUGCUUCAAAUGCAGGAUGACUUUCUUGGACUGGACACACUUCUGGUGGCUGAGAGGUGAGGUUAGCAGCUUUUGAACCUGUCAGGUCUAACACCAUUAACUUUGUCUGGUUCUGCUACUAACCAUGGUGGCACCUGACCUGGUUUUCUCUGGCUCUGGGCCUCAGUUUCCCCUUCAUAAAGGAUGGAGACAGAGGAGUCUUGGCAGAACUACAUAUAGAAUUCCUGGAGGCUUUGGGUGAAACUUUUCCCACCUAUACAGGAACCCUGGAGACCCAGGCUCCCCUCUGCUCUCUCUGUGUGUCUUGUAGGUCAUCUUGGCCCCCACACAACUCUGGUUGUCAAACAUAAAAGCAGGAACAUGGGCUCGGGAUGUAUGUAACUACGUUGCUUCAGUACUUGCCUAGGAUGCACAAAGCCCUGGGUUGGGUUUAUCCUUAGCACAAAACAAGUGGGGCAAUGCUGGCACACAUCUCAGCACUCAGAUGUAGAGGCAGGGGGAAUCACAAUUCCAAGACCAUACUUGGCUACAUAUUAAGUUUGAGCUAGCCUGAGCAACAUGAGAAACAAUAUUAGAAAAAAGAGGAAGAAGAGGGAGGAGGAAGAGAAGGAAGAGGAGGAGGUCAACCAAAACCACCAGCUUACAGGAGAAAAGGAGUGGCUGGUUCUGUGGUAGUUAGUAGGCUAAAAUCUAAUCCAGCAAGAUCACAGGGAGACAUGGCUUGACCUUUCUGAGCUGGUCUGACCCAGAGAUCCAGGUCAACCCUGGCUGUGGUGGCAUUUAAUAUUUCCUGCCAGCACCACCGUGUUAUGGUCACAGACUAGGCAUGCUCAGAUCAUCUGUGAGAUUUGGUGGAAGACAUGAAAUGCUCAGUCAGCACUGGGGAGGCCAGCAUCAGGGAGGGACAGGUGGCAUGUGCCCACACACACACACACACACACACACACACACACAUACCAGAGCCUUGGCUAUGACUUGAGUGGAGGACUCGCACAUUUGGGCAAUGCUUUUGAGUGGGGGGACUCCUCACAUUUGGGCAAUGCUCCGUAAGAGAGGUAUGGUUUCAAGAGAGAGCAGAGAGACAGAGCCGCGGCACAACUGUGACCUUGUCUCUCCUAAUAAAAAACCUUCUUUGGCUCCUGACUGUCAAGUGGACAAAAUCCAGACCCCUCAGGGUGGCAUGCAAAGUCCUUCCCACACUGACCCCAAAAUGACUUCUCCCUCCAGCAGCCCUGGGCUCCUGGCCUCAUCCCAUCCUCCCUCACAUCCCAGCCUGGAUGACCAGACAUGCUAAGUUUUCUCCAUCUCAGUGAUUUUCCCCACACUGCAACCAGUGACUGAUACACCCUUCCUGCCCUUCCCCCAGCCUGGUCCUUAUCUCAUCUCCAUAGAAUGUUCCUUCUUGUUCUUUCAGAUCCACCUCCAAUGUCCUAUUCUCCACCAAACCUACUCCAGCCCCCCUGGAGCUGGGCUGAACAAUUUGUCCCACUGCUCUCCAGAGCAAUGCUUUCUGUGCCAGACAAAUAAACAAAUAAACAGGGCUGUGU